ACCACCAGAAUGACACUAAGAAGAUACUCUUUAGAUGUAAUACAACCUAGGAUUUGAUUUUUGAGUCCAACAUAUGGAAAAAAUAAAUGCUAGGGUACACUAGCAACACUUGCUAAAAAUCUCACCACCCUUCUUGCAACUUUUGCCAUUCAAUUUUCCCUUGCCAUUUUCUUAGAUUUUUUCUAAUUUUUUUUUAUAAUUUCCACAUCCCUCCUCUCUAGUUUCAAUACAAAAUAGUAGUAAGAAAAUGAGUGGGGCAUCUCAUAUAAAUAGG
rnacentral:lncRNA from 1 species